GGAUGUGAGGGCAGUCUGACUGCGAUGCAUGCUACCCCGUGGAUCACCAGGUCUGGCUAUGCGGCUGUCCCCUUCCUCACCACUUGGUGUGCAUCCCUCCAAAGCUGAGCGCUCUGUUGAAGAGGGCAGCCAGCCCCAAUAGAAGGGGAGCCGUUUCCUCAGUCAAGGAUGUACAAGUAGCUGCGCGCCCCUGCUAGAACCUCCAAACAAGCUCUCGAAGACAGCUGGGUUUUACAUACUUGUCAACCUUCCCUCUUUCUCAUCAGGCUAGGAAAGAUGGUAAACAUUUCAUUGUCU
rnacentral:snRNA from 1 species